AGUGAACGCUGGCGGUAGGCCUAACACAUGCAAGUCGAACGGCAGCACAGUAAGAGCUUGCUCUUACGGGUGGCGAGUGGCGGACGGGUGAGGAAUACAUCGGAAUCUACUUUUUCGUGGGGGAUAACGUAGGGAAACUUACGCUAAUACCGCAUACGACCUACGGGUGAAAGCAGGGGAUCUUCGGACCUUGCGCGAUUGAAUGAGCCGAUGUCGGAUUAGCUAGUUGGCGGGGUAAAGGCCCACCAAGGCGACGAUCCGUAGCUGGUCUGAGAGGAUGAUCAGCCACACUGGAGCUGAGACACGGUCCAGACUCCUACGGGAGGCAGCAGUGGGGAAUAUUGGACAAUGGGCGCAAGCCUGAUACAGCCAUACCGCGUGGGUGAAGAAGGCCUUCGGGUUGUAAAGCCCUUUUGUUGGGAAAGAAAAGCAGCAGGUUAAUACCCCGCUGUUCUGACGGUACCCAAAGAAUAAGCACCGGCUAACUUCGUG
rnacentral:rRNA from 1 species